rnacentral:rRNA from 1 species
AUUGAACGCUGGCGGCAUGCCUUACACAUGCAAGUCGAACGGCAGCACGGGUGCUUGCACCUGGUGGCGAGUGGCGAACGGGUGAGUAAUACAUCGGAACAUGUCCUGUAGUGGGGGAUAGCCCGGCGAAAGCCGGAUUAAUACCGCAUACGAUCCACGGAUUAAAGCGGGGGACCUUCGGGCCUCGCGCUAUAGGGUUGGCCGAUGGCUGAUUAGCUAGUUGGUGGGGUAAAGGCCUACCAAGGCGACGAUCAGUAGCUGGUCUGAGAGGACGACCAGCCACACUGGGACUGAGACACGGCCCAGACUCCUACGGGAGGCAGCAGUGGGGAAUUUUGGACAAUGGGCGAAAGCCUGAUCCAGCAAUGCCGCGUGUGUGAAGAAGGCCUUCGGGUUGUAAAGCACUUUUGUCCGGAAAGAAAUCCUUGACUCUAAUACAGUCGGGGGAUGACGGUACCGGAAGAAUAAGCACCGGCUAACUACGUG